rnacentral:lncRNA from 10 species
GAGUGGCAUCAGGAUGUCUGAGAGGAGAGCAUGGUGUUUUUGCUUCAUUGGAUCCAUGCAGGUCUUGGAGGGUGGUGGCCCACUCUUUCUGGGCCAAGUAGAGGGUGGCUCAGACACCCCCCCUUCCUCCAGGCUUCUCAUCUGUAACUGGUGAAGCCCGGAAGAGCUUGUUGUUCAAGAGGAAAUCUUGUGUUACUUCUUUAUGAAGGACUCCAGCCUGGUGGAGAUGAAUGAGUCCUGAAGAUGGAAUCGAAGCUGUUUGGGCACAAUACUUUAAUCAGCAUUUAAUGACCCAGUCGAAAAUUCAUUGUUUGGACCCAAGCACUGGUGGGAAAGGCAGGAGGGGAGGCCUGCCUUCCUUCCUCCCUCCCGAGCCCUACAGCAGGCCAUGGAGUGGUGAGCGAGUUCGUACAGUGCCAACCACAUUCCCAGAAACUUCCAGCAGAGGUUAAUCCUGCUCCUCUCAGGUGGGCUUGGCCCAUUCUCUAGACUUUGGAAGGUAAUGUUCUAUAGAGGCCUGUUCUGAAGCUUUACCAGGUCAAACCGGAGAAGAACCCAACAAGUAACUCAUCCCAGCCUAACUAUUCUUCAAGGGCAAUCAACCUACAGCAUCCAAGCACAGAGAAAUCAAAUCCAUGGAGAAUCUUCAAAUUAGGCUCAGAAUCCAUUUGGGUCAAUGAAUUUACUGUUAUUAAGAUCUUAGUUGUGUUCAACCAUGAUUUGACAUACCUUAGAGUGAGAAGAUAUUCUUCCUGGCCUCAGACUAGUUGAAGGUAGAGAGAGAGACAGGCCCUUGGGUGUGGGGAGACCUCUCCUGGGAUAAUACACACAAAAAACCAAGAGCUGCUCACUGUGGUGCAGGAGACAGCAGGGCCUGAAGCCAGAGGCUCUGUGUCCUUGAAUACAAUGUUUUACUCCUCUGACCCCUGUUACUGUGAUUUGGAGAGGCAGACAAUAUAGGAUGGGCUUUGCAGGCAGGGAGGUCCAGUUAUAAUCCCAGCUCUUACUAAGUUGGGUAAGACUCACUCUGAGACUUAGUUUCUUCUGUCAUCUCUCAAUAGAAUCAUAAAGGUACUUUCCUCUUAGUGUUGUUUUAAAAUUCAGUAAAAUAAUGCAGGCUUAGCACAGGGUCUGAUGUAAAUUUUCAAUGAAUUAUCGUUGUCAAUAUUGUUCUGGAAAACAAGAGGGCAUAUUAGAAGAUCAAAAGUACUGCCAAGCAUUGAAGUGCCAAUUCUAGAUCCAGUCUCAGCCCUCUGAGAAUGGAUAUCAUUGUUUUCAAGCCAUUCAGAAACCAAUGUGAAUUGAACACCUAGUAUGAGCUCUCUGAGGGAAGAGCCAAGUCAUGCAUUUUUUAUCUUAAGGGGUCUUCAAUACCUCUAGCCCAAAACAGUAUCUCCAUCAGGAUUCUUCUCUGAUAGUGUUCAUUUCUUUUUUCUCAAUGGAUGCCUUAAAAAAAAAAUCCUACAAGGAAACCUGUACUCCUCAAAUACACCACUCAGGUGACCAUUAAAUCAUUUACAUUGUU